AGUGAACGCUGGCGGCAGGCCUAACACAUGCAAGUCGAACGAACAUUCCGGGGUUAGUGGCGGACGGGUGAGUAACCCGUGGGAACGUGCACUUAGGUUCGGCAUACCUCAGGGACACUUGUGCUAAUACCGAAUGUGACCUUCGGGGGAAAGAUAUAUCGCCCUUCGUGCGGCCCGCGUCUGAUUCGCUAGUUGGUUGAGGUAAUGGCGCACCAAGGCGACGAUCAGUAGUUGGUAAGAGAAGAUGAUCAGCCACAUUGGGACGGAGACACGACCCAAACUCCUACGGGAAGCAGCAGAGGGGAAACGGGCGCAAGGGGCGAGAGCCAGACGCAGCCAUGCCGCGUGAAUGAUGGAGAUCUGAGAAGAAUAAAAGUCUUUCACCGUGGACGAGAAUGGCCGGACCCGGAGAAGAAGCCCCGGCUAACUUCGUGC
rnacentral:rRNA from 1 species